UACGUAGGGGUGCGAGCGUUGUCCGGAAUUAUUGGGCGUAAAGCGCGUGUAGGCGGUCCGGUAAGUCCGCUGUGAAAGUCGAGGGCUCAACCCUCGAAUGCCGGUGGAUACUGUCGGGCUUGAGUACGGGAGAGGCGAGUGGAAUUCCUGGUGUAGCGGUGAAAUGCGCAGAUAUCAGGAGGAACACCGAUUGCGAAGGCAGCUCGCUGGAACGUUACUGACGCUGAGACGCGAAAGCGUGGGGAGCAAACAGG
rnacentral:rRNA from 1 species